rnacentral:lncRNA from 1 species
UGUCGCUAAAUUCAUUACAAAUUUAUCGUUACAACACGUUGGUCGAAAAUUGAUCGCUGGUCGAUAAUAAAUUUAUAAGUAAAUUAGUCACAAUGUAUGUGCUAUAUAAACGCUAAAUACUAUUUUUUUAGUCGGUAUUUCGUUGCGAAUGGAUUGUAAAGGAGUGCUAAACCGCCACUUAACCCAACAUUGCUCACAGCAAAACAACCCGCAAGACCCAACACUACCUUUACUCGAUUCAUCCUACUCCUAUCAACUUUAGUUUCAAUAAGAAAAAUAAAAUUUGGCUCCUUUGAACUUAUAAUAUCCCGGAAGACUCAACUGUCCGUGAGACAACCAACCCAUGACAGUUCCAAUUGAGACAACUCAUGGCAAUCCGCAGGCCUGCAUAACAGGUCCCGCCGUUUCUUCGACUACAAGAAGGCCUGAACCCAAACUGCGAAUACAAUGUUUCUUUGUUGUUGGUUUACUACCUUCAUCGUGGUUAUUUGAAGCAGCUAUAGAAAUGUCACCAUCAUCCAAUUCCGUAAUGGUUACCCCUGAUCUCUUGCUACUAGCUAACCUUUUCCACUUUACUCUGUUAUGGCUUGCAUUUUCUAUAUGCGCAGGUUCUUGUGAGCUUGGUUCGAGACUUUGAGUAUCAUCAGCAACCUUAGGAGAAG